CACGUAGGGCGCAAGCGUUGUUCGGAAUUACUGGGCGUAAAGAGCGUGUAGGCGGUCCGGUAAGUCCGCUGUGAAAGUCGGGGGCUCAACCCUCGAAUGCCGGUGGAUACUGUCGGGCUAGAGUGCGGAAGAGGCGAGUGGAAUUCCUGGUGUAGCGGUGAAAUGCGCAGAUAUCAGGAGGAACACCUAUUGCGAAGGCAGCUCGCUGGGACGUAACUGACGCUGAGACGCGAAAGCGUGGGGAGCAAACAGG
rnacentral:rRNA from 1 species